rnacentral:rRNA from 1 species
UACGAAGGGGGGCUAGCGUUGUUCGGAAUCACUGGGCGUAAAGGGCGCGUAGGCGGCCACCGCAAGUCAGUUGUGAAAUCUCUGGGGCUUAACCCAGAAAGGUCAACUGAUACUGCGGGGCUAGAGUGCAGAAGGGGCAACUGGAAUUCUCGGUGUAGCGGUGAAAUGCGUAGAUAUCGAGAGGAACACCUGCGGCGAAGGCGGGUUGCUGGGCUGACACUGACGCUGAUGCGCGAAAGCUAGGGGAGCGAACGGG